UACGGGGGGAGCAAACGUUGUUCGGAAUCACUGGGCGUAAAGGGCGUGUAGGCGGCUGGAUAAGUGGGAUGUUAAAUCCCCCGGCUCAACCGGGGACCUGCAUCUCAUACUGUUCAGCUCGAGCACAUCAGAGGAGACUGGAAUUCCCGGUGUAGCGGUGAAAUGCGUAGAUAUCCGGAGGAACACCGAUUGCGAAGGCAGCUCGCUGGGACGUGACUGACGCUGAGACGCGAAAGCGUGGGGAGCAAACAGG
rnacentral:rRNA from 1 species